GACAGAGGUGCCAAGCGUUAGGCGGAAUCACUGGGCUUAAAGCGUGUGUAGGCGGAUUGGUAAGUACCUUGUGAAAUCCCACAGCUCAACUGUGGAACUGCUCGGUAUACUGCUUAUCUUGAGCCACUUAGGGGCUGUCGGAACAAACGGUGGAGCGGUGAAAUGCGUAGAUAUCAGGAGGAACACCAAUUGCGAAGGCAGCUCGCUGGGACGUUACUGACGCUGAGACGCGAAAGCGUGGGGAGCAAACAGG
rnacentral:rRNA from 1 species